GUGCUCACUUUGGCAGCACAUGUACUAAAACUGGAAUGAUACAGAGAUUAGGAUGGCCCCUGAGCAAGGAUGACAUGCAGGUUUGUGAAGUGUUCCACGUUAAA
rnacentral:snRNA from 1 species